rnacentral:rRNA from 1 species
AAUAGCUCACUAGUCGAGUCGGCCUGCGCGGAAGAUGUAACGGGGCUCAAACUGGUUACCGAAGCUGCGGCUGUGCACGCAAGUGCACGGGGUAGGGGAGCGUUCUGUAAGCCUGCGAAGGUGUGUCGAGAGGCAUGCUGGAGGUAUCAGAAGUGCGAAUGCUGACAUGAGUAACGACAAUGGGGGUGAAAAACCCCCACGCCGGAAGACCAAGGGUUCCUGCGCAACGCUAAUCGGCGCAGGGUGAGUCGGCCCCUAAGGCGAGACCGAAAGGUGUAGUCGAUGGGAAACGGAUUAAUAUUUCCGUACCUUGGAUAGCUGCGAUGGAGAGACGGAGAAGGCUAGGUGAGCCGGGCGACGGUUGUCCCGGUUUAAGCAUGUAGGCAGUGGGAUUAGGCAAAUCCGGUCCCACAAUGCCGAGACGCGACGACGACUGCCCUUUUAGGGCGGGAAGUCAUUGAUGCCCUGCUUCCAGGAAAAUCUUCUAAGCUUCAGGCUAUUCGAGACCGUACCCCAAACCGACACAGGUGGUCAGGUAGAGAAUACCAAGGCGCUUGAGAGAACUCGGGUAAAGGAACUAGGCAAAAUGGUGCCGUAACUUCGGGAGAAGGCACGCCGGUGGUAUGUGACGCCCUUCGCGGGUUGAGCAGAAGCCGGUCGAAGAUACCAGGCCCCUGCGACUGUUUAUUAAAAACACAGCACUGUGCAAACACGAAAGUGGACGUAUACGGUGUGACGCCUGCCCGGUGCCGGAAGGUUAAUUGAUGGGGUUAGCGCUUGCGCGAAGCUCUUGAUCGAAGCCCCGGUAAACGGCGGCCGUAACUAUAACGGUCCUAAGGUAGCGAAAUUCCUUGUCGGGUAAGUUCCGACCUGCACGAAUGGCGUAACGAUGGCCACACUGUCUCCACCCGAGACUCAGUGAAAUUGAAAUUGCGGUUAAGAUGCCGUAUACCCGCGGCUAGACGGAAAGACCCCGUGAACCUUUACUAUAGCUUCACAGUGAACUUUGAGCAUGUUUGUGUAGGAUAGCUGGGAGGCUUUGAAACCAGGACGCCAGUUCUGGUGGAGCCAACCUUGAAAUACCAGCCUGACCUGUUUGAGGUUCUAACUUCGACCCCUUAUCGGGGUUAAGGACACUGUGUGGUGGGUAGUUUGACUGGGGCGGUCUCCUCCCAAAGCGUAACGGAGGAGCACAAAGGUGGGCUAAGCAUGGUCGGACAUCAUGCGGUUAGUGUAAUGGCACAAGCCCGCUUAACUGCGAGACAGACACGUCGAGCAGGUACGAAAGUAGGUCAUAGUGAUCCGGUGGUUCUGUAUGGAAGGGCCAUCGCUCAACGGAUAAAAGGUACUCCGGGGAUAACAGGCUGAUACCGCCCAAGAGUUCAUAUCGACGGCGGUGUUUGGCACCUCGAUGUCGGCUCAUCUCAUCCUGGGGCUGAAGCCGGUCCCAAGGGUAUGGCUGUUCGCCAUUUAAAGAGGUACGCGAGCUGGGUUUAGAACGUCGUGAGACAGUUCGGUCCCUAUCUGCCGUGGACGUUGGAGAUUUGAGGAAAGCUGCUCCUAGUACGAGAGGACCGGAGUGGACGAACCGCUGGUGUUCGGGUUGUGUCGCCAGACGCAUUGCCCGGUAGCUAUGUUCGGAUAGGAUAACCGCUGAAAGCAUCUAAGCGGGAAGCCCCUUCCAAGAUGAGAUCUCCCUGGACCCUCGAGGUCCCUGAAGAGCCGUUCAAGACCAGGACGUUGAUAGGUCGGGUGUGUAAGCGCUGCGAGGCGUUGAGCUAACCGAUACUAAUUGCUCGUGAGGCUUGACU